AAAAAACUUCACAAAAACCAAUCCCUUCAAAACCCAACACACUCAGCUCUUUGCUCCUAAAAGCAAAAAUCUGAUCAUGAACAAAUAAUUAACCAAAAAACAAACCCAUUGACUUGGCAACAUACAGCCACACAAAAUUGAGAGGUAAUGACAGAUAUCCUUUGCUCCCAUGUAACGAUCAACCACAGAUACUGUAACUCAAAAACUUUCCAAUACAGUAUGGAGAUUUGAAACACGGCGACGGAAUAAUGAUUCUAGCCUGAAAGCUGGAACCCCAGUCUGCCACCUAUUAGUAUCAUACAUCUCUUUCCAUGCCUGCACUAUCUCAUCGACCUUAAAACCUUCAAGAGCAGUUUCAUUG
rnacentral:misc_RNA from 1 species